CCUACGGGAGGCAGCAGUGAGGAAUUUUGGUCAAUGGGCGAGAGCCUGACCCAGCCAAGCCGCGUGAAGGAUGAAGGAUCUAUGGUUUGUAAACUUCUUUUAUAUGGGAGUAAAGUGAGGAACGUGUUCCUUUUUGUACGUACCAUAUCAAUACGCAUCGGCUAGCCCCGUGCCAGCAGCCGAGGUAAUACGGAGGAUGCGUGCGUUAUCCGGAUUUAUUGGGUGUAAAGGGUGCGUAGGUGGUUAAUUAAGUUAGCGGUGAAAGUUUGUGGCUCAACCAGAGAAUUGCCGUUGAAACUGGUUGACUUGAGUAUAUUUGAGGUAGGCGGAAUGCGAGGUGUAGCGGUGAAAUGCAUAGAUAUCACGAAGAACACCGAUUGCGAAGGCAGCUUACUAAACUAUAACUGACACUGAGGCACGAAAGCGUGGGGAUCAAACAGGAUUAGAUACCCUUGUAGUC
rnacentral:rRNA from 1 species